GACAUAGGUGGCGAACGUUAUCCGGAAUUACUGGGCGUAAAGGGCGCGUAGGCGGCCGUUUGCGUCGGAUGUGAAAGCCCGGGGCUCAACCUCGGAACGGCAUUCGAUACGGGACGGCUGGAGACCGGGAGAGGAGAGUGGAAUAGCCAGUGUAGAGGUGAAAUGCGCAGAUAUCAGGAGGAACACCGGUGGCGAAGGCGGGUCUCUGGGCCGAUACUGACGCUGAGGAGCGAAAGCGUGGGGAGCGAACAGG
rnacentral:rRNA from 1 species